rnacentral:rRNA from 1 species
UACGAAGGGGGCUAGCGUUGUUCGGAAUUAUUGGGCGUAAAGCGCGUGUAGGCGGCUUUGCAAGUCGGGUGUGAAAUCCCUCAGCUCAACUGAGGAAGUGCGCCCGAAACUGCAGAGCUUGAGUACCGGAGAGGAUGGCGGAAUUCCCCAAGUAGAGGUGAAAUUCGUAGAUAUGGGGAGGAACACCGGUGGCGAAGGCGGCCAUCUGGACGGAUACUGACGCUGAGACGCGAAAGCGUGGGUAGCAAACAGG